GACGAACGCUGGCGGCGUGCUUAACACAUGCAAGUCGAACGGAAAGGCCCUGCUUUUGUGGGGUGCUCGAGUGGCGAACGGGUGAGUAACACGUGAGUAACCUGCCCUUGACUUUGGGAUAACUUCAGGAAACUGGGGCUAAUACCGGAUAGGAGCUCCUGCUGCAUGGUGGGGGUUGGAAAGUUUCGGCGGUUGGGGAUGGACUCGCGGCUUAUCAGCUUGUUGGUGGGGUAGUGGCUUACCAAGGCUUUGACGGGUAGCCGGCCUGAGAGGGUGACCGGCCACAUUGGGACUGAGAUACGGCCCAGACUCCUACGGGAGGCAGCAGGGGGGAAUAUUGCACAAUGGGCGGAAGCCUGAGGCAGCAACGCCGCGUGCGGGAUGACGGCCUUCGGGUUGUAAACCGCUUUCGCCUGUGACGAAGCGGGAGUGACGGUAAUGGGUAAAGAAGCACCGGCUAACUACGUG
rnacentral:rRNA from 1 species